rnacentral:rRNA from 1 species
UACAGAGGUCUCAAGCGUUGUUCGGAUUCAUUGGGCGUAAAGGGUGUGUAGGUGGCGCCGUAAGUGGGGUGUGAAAUCUCGGGGCUUAACUCCGAAACUGCAUUCCAUACUGCGGUGCUUGAGGACUGGAGAGGAGACUGGAAUUCAUGGUGUAGCAGUGAAAUGCGUAGAGAUCAUGAGGAAGACCAGUGGCGAAGGCGGGUCUCUGGACAGUUCCUGACACUGAGACACGAAGGCCAGGGGAGCAAACGGGG